rnacentral:snRNA from 1 species
AUGUAGGACAGCGAUGUGGCUGCAACAUCUGUCACCCCUUGAUCACCAGGGUUGAUUUGGCUGAUAUGGCUGGCCAGGCAGGUGCCCCCUUCCUCCCUCACUACU